UAACUGUUUAAAGGAGUGACUCCCUGACGUUCGUAGCAGAUGGGCCUGUCAGAAUUCUCUCACAUGUGGUGGUGCACACGUUUUUCAUGAAGAUGGAUGUGGCAUUGGUGCAAGGGGAUUUCCAAGCUGGAAAUUUCCUGUUCUUCACAAGAACAGGGUGUGCGGUGUUAACUUAGUCCCCAGUUGAGAUCAGAGCUCCAUUGUGGUAGGAUCCCCACAAGCAGGGACCUAAAGCUGCCAGGAAUGUUGAGCUGAAGAAUCAUUGACUGCCCUAGAGCUGCUUCUACACCAUUUCCUUCCAUCCUACACCUCCUUUUGCACUCCAGAGAGGAAGGGGACACAGCCAGAGUACCCUACACUUCUGCCAGGAUAAUGGCAUCCAGAAGGGACAGGGACAGCAUAGAACUGCCCCAGGACUAAAGAGCUGCAAACAGCAAUUUUGUGGUUCUUCCCCUCAGCUGAGUCAAGUCUGGAUUCAGCUGAAUAUUCAGCCCAGGCUCUGAGGACACAGUGAACCUCUCCUGUGGUUGGUGUCUGUUCAGCAUGCAGGGGGACAGGGAGGAGA